rnacentral:rRNA from 1 species
GUCGAACGCGAGGGUCCCGCAAGGGAUCGGUAGAGUGGCAAACGGGUGAGUAACACGUGGGUGACCUGCCUUCGAGUGGGGGAUAACGUCUCGAAAGGGACGCUAAUACCGCAUAAUAUCCUGCCUUUUAAGAGGCGGACAUCAAAGCUGGGGAUCGCAAGACCUGGCGCUUGAAGAGGGGCCCGCGUCCGAUUAGCUAGUUGGUGAGGUAACGGCUCACCAAGGCUCCGAUCGGUAUCCGGCCUGAGAGGGCGGACGGACACACUGGAACUGAGACACGGUCCAGACUCCUACGGGAGGCAGCAGUGGGGAAUUGUUCGCAAUGGGCGCAAGCCUGACGACGCAACGCCGCGUGGAGGAUGAAGACUUUCGGGUCGUAAACUCCUUUCGACCGAGAUGAAUUUCCGCCGACCUAACACGUCGGCGGGGUGACAGUAUCGAGGGAAGAAGCCCCGGCUAACUCCGUGCCAGCAGCCGCGGUAAUACGGGGGGGGCAAGCGUUGUUCGGAAUUACUGGGCGUAAAGGGUUCGUAGGUGGCCUGCUAAGUCACACGUGAAAUCCCUCAGCUUAACUGGGGAACUGCGUGUGAGACUGGCGGGCUUGAGUGCAGGAGAGGAACGCGGAAUUCCAGGUGUAGCGGUGAAAUGCGUANAUAUCUGGAGGAACACCGGUGGCGAAGGCGGCGUUCUGGACUGCAACUGACACUG